GACGAACGCUGGCGGCGUGCUUAACACAUGCAAGUCGAGCGGUAAGGCCCCUUCGGGGGUACACGAGCGGCGAACGGGUGAGUAACACGUGAGCAAUCUGCCCAUCACAUCGGGAUAACUCCGGGAAACCGAAGCUAAUACCGAAUACGACCACCUCCGGCAUCGGAUGGUGGUGGAAAGUUCCGGCGGUGAUGGAUGAGCUCGCGGCCUAUCAGCUUGUUGGUGGGGUAACGGCCCACCAAGGCUUCGACGGGUAGCCGGCCUGAGAGGGUGACCGGCCACACUGGGACUGAGACACGGCCCAGACUCCUACGGGAGGCAGCAGUGGGGAAUAUUGGACAAUGGGCGAAAGCCUGAUCCAGCAACGCCGCGUGAGGGAUGACGGCCUUCGGGUUGUAAACCUCUUUCAGCAGGGACGAAGCGCAAGGGACGGUACCUGCAGAAGAAGCACCGGCCAACUACGU
rnacentral:rRNA from 1 species